UACGGAGGGUGCAAGCGUUAUCCGGAUUCACUGGGUUUAAAGGGUGCGUAGGCGGCCCGGUAAGUCAGUGGUGAAAGCUCUCAGCUUAACUGAGAAACUGCCAUUGAAACUGCCAGGCUUGAAUACAGUUGAAGUAGGCGGAAUACAACAUGUAGCGGUGAAAUGCUUAGAUAUGUUGUAGAACACCGAUUGCGAAGGCAGCUUACUAAGCUGUGAUUGACGCUGAGGCACGAAAGCGUGGGGAGCGAACAGG
rnacentral:rRNA from 1 species